rnacentral:rRNA from 1 species
GAUGAACGCUGGCGGCGUGCUUAACACAUGCAAGUCGAACGGAAAGGCCCAAGCUUGCUUGGGUACUCGAGUGGCGAACGGGUGAGUAACACGUGGGUGAUCUGCCCUGCACUUCGGGAUAAGCCUGGGAAACUGGGUCUAAUACCGGAUAGGACCACUUCUUGGAUGUUGUGGUGGAAAGUUUUUCGGUGUGGGAUGAGCUCGCGGCCUAUCAGCUUGUUGGUGGGGUAAUGGCCUACCAAGGCGUCGACGGGUAGCCGGCCUGAGAGGGUGUACGGCCACAUUGGGACUGAGAUACGGCCCAGACUCCUACGGGAGGCAGCAGUGGGGAAUAUUGCACAAUGGGCGCAAGCCUGAUGCAGCGACGCCGCGUGGGGGAUGACGGCCUUCGGGUUGUAAACUCCUUUCGCUAGGGACGAAGCUUAUUUUGUGACGGUACCUGGAGUAGAAGCACCGGCUAACUACGUG